UACAGAGGGUGCGAGCGUUAAUCGGAAUUACUGGGCGUAAAGCGCGCGUAGGCGGCUUUGCAAGUCGGGUGUGAAAUCCCCAGGCUUAACCUGGGAACUGCAUCCGAUACUGGAUGGCUUGAAUUCGGGAGAGGGAUGCAGAAUUCCAGGUGUAGCGGUGAAAUGCGUAGAUAUCUGGAGGAAUACCGGUGGCGAAGGCGGCAUCCUGGACCGAGAUUGACGCUGAUGAGCGAAAGCUAGGGGAGCAAACGGG
rnacentral:rRNA from 1 species